CAAUAGCGUAUAUUUAAGUUGUUGCAGUUAAAAAGCUCGUAGUUGGAUUUCGGAUGGGACUUGCCGGUCCGUCGUUUCGAUGUGCACUGGCCAGUCCUAUCUUGUUGUCGGGGACUAGCUCCUGGGCUUCACUGUCCGGGACUAGGAGCUGACGAGGUUACUUUGAGUAAAUUAGAGUGUUCAAAGCAAGCCUACGCUCUGAAUACAUUAGCAUGGAAUAACACGAUAGGACUCUGGCUUAUCUUGUUGGUCUGUGAGACCAGAGUAAUGAUUAAGAGGGACAGUCGGGGACAUUCGUAUUUCAUCGUCAGAGGUGAAAUUCUUGGAUUUAUGAAAGACGAACUUCUGCGAAAGCAUUUGUCAAGGAUGUUUUCAUUA
rnacentral:rRNA from 1 species